rnacentral:lncRNA from 1 species
AUACAGAAGCAUUUAAUGCAAGAGAUAAGCUAACAGACCAGCUAAGAAAAUGAAAUUAUGAUUUAAAUAUGCUGGUCAUUUCCCUGUCAUUUUACUGCUUCAAAUUCAUCCUUUAAUUACAUAUGCCAUCACUCUGAUGCUAUGGCUGACACUAUACAAACCAUAUUUUUGUUUGUUUGUUUCAUUUUAACUAGCGGUAAAUCAUUAGAUUUACAUUAGAUUUACAUUAGAUUAGUUUUAACUAGCUGUAAAUAAUUAGAUUUAGGCAAUAGAAGGCAGAGAGGAGACUGAAAAGAAGGCAAAGGCAAGAAGGGAUGUUCUCUUGUUUUGUGCUCUGAUUCUGGUGAGGUUCCCUAUGAGAAGCAACCUUUCAGCCCAGCGGCAGCCAUUUGCUAAAGCAUUGUCAUUUGGUUUCAGCCUCUAGCAUCUUCCAGAACCAACUUCCCUUUGUGGCUAGCAUGAAAUAUACUGGUAUAAAGUGCUCUAAAAAUAUAGAAACUGAGAGAAUAAGAAAUAUGAAAAAGAAAUGGAGAAAUGCGAGAGAGAAGACCAUUUACUCUGAGAUAUUAGACUUCCUCGGGAUGAAGGAGGAGGAGAACUUUGGAUCUGACAGGUGAUUCAAGUCUAAAAAUUGACUGAACUAAA